GUCCAGAAUGACUCUCGGCAACGGAUAUCUCGGCUCUUGCAUCGAUGAAGAACGUAGCGAAAUGCGAUACUUGGUGUGAAUUGCAGAAUCCCGUGAACCAUCGAGUCUUUGAACGCAAGUUGCGCCCGAAGCCGUCAGGCCGAGGGCACGCCUGCCUGGGUGUCACCGA
rnacentral:rRNA from 2 species